GCCGAUUAUGUGGCAGCAUAUAAUUCCUGGCCUCAUCAUGUGACGAAAAUACCCCCGGCGGAACUUAUGUUUGGUAGGGCGGUCAGGGGUUUAUUGCCAAACAUGAAGUUGAACUCAAGGCAGGCGCUGGAUGAUGAACUCAGGGAUCGAGACAGAACAGCAAAGUUUGAGCGAAAUGCAAGAGAGGAUGAGAGGCGCCGAGCUAAAAAUACAAGUAUAAAAGUUGGUGAUAAGGUACUUGUUAUGCAGCAGAAAAGGGAUAAGGCCGAUACAGCCUAUAAAAACAAAUUUUAUAAAGUAACUAAAAUGGAAGGAAUUGGAAGAGCGACAAUAAGGGAUAUGGAAAAUAGUAAGGAGUAUCAGCGCAGCGUUAAGCAUUUAAAGAAAUUUGUGGACAGAAGUGAUGACCAGGAGAGUGAGAUAGGUAUUGAGGAGGAGAAUACAUCGCUGGAAGUACCCGAAGGAAUGGAACAGGUAGUAGAACGGAAUUUAUACCGAGAACUAGAAGUAGAGCGACCCGUGGGAAGGUCGAUUCGGACGGCCGAAACGGAUGGUAGGAUUAGAGAAGCUAGGGAAAUUAAGCGUCCAUGGAGGUUUCGAGACGGAAGUAUGUGAAGGGUGUAGGUUAAGUUUAUAUCAUAAUACAUUUUGGGAUGUGAAAACCUUUACAUAUUUUUUAGUAAAGGGAGAAUGUGGGAUCCUAGAGUAAGAAAGAGAAAGAAUGCGAUGUAUGAUGGUUGAAGGCAGUCGGAGUUGAGCAGCAAAUAAAGAAGGUUGUGUUCUGGUAACGAACGAGGUGGUGUGCGUGUGUGUGUACUCUGUACUGGUAGGAUAUCACAGGUUAGUGUUGACUUUCUGUGAUGAUUCUGCAGCGACAGCCACGCUUCUCGUGCUGUAGUGGAGUUCCGGAUCAGCCCGUGUUGAUUAUCAUCAAUCAGCAGCCCGAUGGUCGCACGGGUCUUGGCCACACCAGCAUCCCAUGUCGCUUGGUCUACGUUUGCGGGCUUUACUCCCGGCUCAACGUGGUGCCAAAGUUCUUCCCGUACAAGCAGCAACUCAACCUUGAAACGCCAACUGCCGUAGUUGUUGUUGUUGAGCUUUGCCAUACUAAACCGAUUACCGUCCAUCUUUCGCUCGCACGAUUUAUCAAAACCUUUUUCUCUAUUCCAAUGUUGCCUCUUAUGGCCCUUGGCCCAUAUCCUGUUAGAGAUUUGCAGUGCCGUAAGGAAUUUAGGAAUAGACAGAAGCACGUGUGGUUCGGUUGAAGUCAAGGUUAUUAGACUCUAUACAGGUUACGACAAAAGCCCGUUUUGGCCGAUUUCCAAUAAAAAAAUGAAUGAAAAUUUUGACAGACAAAUUGGAAUGGUUUGUUUCCAAUUGGACUGGUUUGUUUACAAUUUGGCUGGAUUGCAAUCGUGCAAUGCUGUGGCAAGGGAGAAAUCGACUAAGUGAGAUUCCAGUAAAAAUAUGCUUUCGUUGUCGUAAAAAGAUCCAACAUGAAGGAGUUUAAGAUUGUGUCAGGGAAAAGGAUUACAUCGAGCAAGUGGAGGAUUAAUGUGAAAUCAUUCGUUUAUCAGCAUUACCAGCAUUACGGACAAGGAGAUAAAUAAGCGUGUGAAGUACACAGCUAGAAAGCAUAUGUUGGAGGGAAAAUGUAUGCUGUUUUUGGAACUUGCACGAUGUCUCAGGUGGGUGUGCAGUGUAGACACAGUUUCAUCUUACGAGUUUCUUUUCCGUCCAACAACAGUAAAGUAUAUAUGGAGAGGGAGGGGUGCAAAGUGCCGUACUUUCCCAAAGUAAUCACUGUUCGUAAUAGGUGAGGAAUAUUAUCAUGCCUGGCUGUUGCACAGUAUCCGUUGGGAUGAGGUCUAACUCCCUCGAGGCGAACGGACGAUGUCCCAUUCCGCCCUACUGCAACAUAGUGUCCAGAUGACCGAGAUGGCAUGUUGCUUCGGCUAGGUGAGUAUCGUUGCACUAAUGAACCAAUGCCCCGUUGAAUGUAGUUCCAUUCCAGGGAACGAAAUCAGAAGAAGAGUUAUGCCACUAUGGGUAUAAAAUAGAGAUGUACUGUCAUAUAGAGAUAUAACAGUGCCGUGCAGUGCUUUUGGAUUUAACAGUGCAGCAUGAUGGACCCAGUACAUAAAUAAGCAACAAUUGAAACCAUAGCCUGACUCCAGCGUGUGAUCUGGAGGGAUAAUAAGUUUUGACACGCAGACUGGAUGCACGUGAUCAUACGUCAUCUAUCAUCUCGGUUCAUUAUUUAAAUUAAUUUUAUUUAUUUUUUCAUUUAUUUAAUUUUUAUUUUAUACAAAUAUCUGCUUCAGAAGGCUAAAUAUAAGGAAACAUAUAAACAAAAAUUUGAAAUAAUUAUAAAAAACUAAUAACAUAUUAUAAUAACAAACUAACAACGUAGAUUGGGCCACAAGCAAUUUAAUAACACAGACAAUAUAGUAGGAUGGCAGAGAUAUGAUAAGGAAACGAGUCAAAGAACUGUAGGAAGAGGGAGCGAAGAGAUUGAGGGAGGAUAUGAAAGUCAAACACGCCAGAGGCACUGUUGAAGCGAUGAAGGGAUUGAAUAAACGGAUCGUUAGAAUGAUAUAGCGUUCUUCUCGACGAAAUUAAUAUAAAUUCGCGGCUUCAGUAAGUGAGCGGGUGUGUACAGUGUAAUUCUAUUAAGUAAUGAAGGACAGUCAAUCUCAUUCCGAAGCAAACCACUAAUAAGCAAAGAUUGAGAAGCAGAUCGAUGAUCGUGGGCACCGUACUUCAUAUGGGGGAAGAGUUGCACCCGAUUGCCCCAAGAGCCGCCUAACGGCAAUUCAGAUGAAUCUGCGUUGAACGCUUUCAACCCUGUCAUACCAGACUAACUGGGUAGCUAAAAAUGCUCGCGUAUUCUAAUGUAGGUUGGACUAAGCUAUAGUAAAGGGCUUUGAGGUAGUAGGGUAACGCACAUCAUUUUCCCAUCGUAGGGUAACGCACAUCAUGCAUCGAUUCCGACCCGCAAGUGCAACGGGUGUGCUAGAUCGGAGUCGGAAACAAAUCCGACGCUAGAAAGUAAGGACGUCGGGUUCACCCGAAUGAAUAGUAGUUGUAAGAAAGCAUAAGUGACUCCGACCCGUUGGUGCAGCGAGUUUGGAUCAGGUCAAAGUAGGUUCAAUACCCGACCCGUACUCGCUGCACCAAUGGGUCGUAAUCGCUUAUGCUUUCUCGCAUUUACUGGAAUCAUUGCACCUAAUACUUUUAUUUGCAACUUUCAGGUCGACCCGCACAACUCCGGGUUGCUUGGGAUGGCUCCGACCCGGUAAGUUCUAGUUGCUCCGCCUAUCACAAGUGUGUGUAUGAAGAACGUGUGUGAGUUGUCGGAUCGCUGACCAAGGAGUAGGAGAAUGAGAUAAAAGUGAGGGAUAGCAAUUAAACCACACGUGCAGAGAACUAGGGAGUUAAUGUUUAACGAGUCCGUUGUAGCAAUAAUAAUGGUAAAUAAACUUCAAAUAUAAACUUAAAACAUAUUUUUGUCUAAGUUAUUGUGUUAUUGUCAGUAAAGUUUGCCGUGUACAGUACGGGAUCAUUUAAAAGUUUACGCCGCACUUCUUGUAACAAUAACAACUAGUUGUUUUUCGGUAGCAUUUAUCAAACACGAUUUUGCUCUGUAAAGUUGACUGCCGUGGAAAGCACUCGUCGGGACUCGUCUCAUCUGGAGAUUUAUCACUUAUGAUGAUGUGGUAUCACAAAUGCUUCUAACAUCCUUUUCGCUCUGCUAUUGUACUUGACGCAAGUUUGAACGUGGCCCGUGUGGCAUGAAUGUAAUAGACCCUCGCUGUUGUUUAACACUACUGCAACUGCCGGGACGACAUUUAUCUCCCGACCUUUCACUUUUGCUUAAAUGAAGCUGCACCCGAGGCGGCAUGAAUCCUUGACCCCCACAUUCGUUUCCUAUGAACCGGAACUGUAACAGGAGCAGCAUAAACGAUCACCCUGUACCCGUCGAUUGUGACGAAUCGGAAUGGAGCCUCGCGGCUUCCCACACAUCGCAGCGAUGAAAUCCUUGGCAAUUUAGCAGAACUUACUCAGUAUUGAACAGGCCAACAAAGAAGUCGUAUUCCAUUAACGAUGGAACGUUAUAGGAUGAAGAAAACUAGAAGCGCUAGUUUCGUCUUCUGCAAUCUUAUUUAUGUUGUUUAUUCCAAGCAUCAGCUGACCGGCGUCGAUUUUGACAGACAAAUUGUAAACAAGGUUCACAAAAUGGUGACCCCCUCAAUCGCUCUGUCGUAACCUGUAUAGAGUCUAAUAACCUCCCAAAUGACAAUCGGGCAGCAUCUCACUAUAGCGAGCCCGAUGACAGCUUGACGUUUCCAUACUGAGAUGCUGUCUUCGGUUGCCUCCUCCAUACUGAGCGAGCAUUGUCUUUCUCAUCGGCAUGGUGAGUUACAGAAGUUUGUAUGGUGAGCAUUCUGGCUAGCGCCAAAUUUUCUCAUGAGACGAUCUGGCGCGCCCCGUCGAUUCGAUGAGAUGCCUUACCACAUGAUAGUGAGGUCGGAUUUUGGAUCGGCUGCCGAUCUUGCUCAUAUGAGUUGAACGGUCUGCCGUAUGGUGAGGGCUCCGUGUGUGGCUGUGUGAUCCCAUAUAACCAAGAUACCGAAAACGCCACCAAUUUCUUGUACUAAAAAUCCAGUUCCAUCAAACAAAGCUAAAAAACUAUCAGUUUGGUGGGUUAAGCCACACGGCUACAGAAGCAGCCACUUCAAUUUUGUUAAAGUCAGUUAUUAUGCUCGGGCACUUUAUUUGCUCAACAUGUUUCACCUGUGUUAAAAUGUGAUUUAAUUGUGCAAAGGAAACAAUUAAACGUGUGUGUUUAAGUUGGUUUGUUGUAAAACAUUCAUGUUUAAUAUGUGUAUAUGUGUGUUUGUUUACUUGCGAAUGAUCUCUCCAUUUCGCUGGUCAGUGCAUAGUUUAUAGACUAAUAAUAUUGCUGAAGUUUAAGUGCAGUGAUGUAAGUGAAUGAAUGUAAUCAAUCGAAGAGUUAAAAUCCUGUUCAGCAUAUUGACCUUAGCCAACCCUUGACCAAACUUUUCCUCAAAGCAUUUUUGGAAAAGGUGGGUUAAGGGUGGGCAAGAUAAAUACAUCGGAUCGGAACUGGCAGCUCCGAUUGUUCUAAAAUUUGGUGGGUUAACGACUGAAUCCACCACCACAAACCCACGUGGGUUUGAAGUGGCUUUACAGUGGGUUAAGGACGAUUUGGUUAUUUGGGAUGUGUGUGUGUGUAGGGGAAAGCGGGGCAAAAUGGGCAUGUUAAGCAGUUUACUGAAUAUUCCAUUGAAUAUGCCACAAAACACAAUUAUUCAUGCAUUAUUGUAUGCCUCCACUAUUUAUCUAUGGAUUAAAAUUGCCACAUAGAAUGAAAACAACUUAAAAUCAUGAAAACAGUGUAAAAUAAAAGUUGAUGUUUUACGAGAAGCUAUUUUGACACGCGGGGUAAAAUGGGCAUAGCCCUGGGGCAAAAUGGGCAUAUGUAAACAAACUGUGAAACGUCAGAACACUGGGGUAAAAUGGGCCACAACAACUGCGCUUAGGUAAUGGUCUAUGCUUUUGCGCACCGUUUCGUGAAUUGUAUUUUCGUUCUAUCUUUUGUUUUGCUGGUCAGGAAAGCCCUUAAAAUUCUUCCAAAAAUAUGUUAUCAAAAUUAAAACAGUUUUUACACGUUUAAAUCUACAAAAUCGAUUCUUUUGAAGCUGUGUCUGUUAUCAUUAUUGAGGCGACAAAUAUAACACCAUAGCCUCACCAAACGCCAUUUGUCAAAAGUAUCUGCCCAUUUUGCCCCAAGCGUAACUGCCCAUUUUGCCCCACGUGAAGCAUUUUUGUAUUUUAUGUUAUAUUAGUAAAAAUACGCAUUCGAUCGCCUUGCUUUCUUCAGACAAAUUGUAUAGAAAUAUCACAUCUUUAAUAAUAUAUAAUGUAAAACUUCAACGCAUCCCUGUGACACUGGGUUAAGCUUAUUUUCGAAGUGACAAAAAUUACAUCAAUAUGCUACUAAACCUUAUUUUGCACUUUUCUUGGUUAUUUUUUGUGUUAGCGUUAUGAAACUUACAUGGUGUUCAUAAAACACUCUAAUGAAUACAUUUUGAGCAUUGGAAAGUAGCUUUGUAGUCAAAUAAUGCUUAAAUAGAGGGUGCCCAUUUUGCCCCACAUGCCCAUUUUGCCCCGCUUUCCCCUAUAUGUGAUGAUUCGCGAGACGGCAUAAAGUGUUUUGUUUGGAAGGCCGCAAAUACACGACGCGCGUUUCCGCGCCCGCGGAAACGCGUAUAACAAUCCAGCCAUAGAAAUGAAAUGUCAUUCGAACGCGCUACCGCGGAAACGCAGAGAUGCUCAGCUGGAUAUCUCUGCGGAACUGUUAUACGCGUUUGAACGCGCCCGCGGAAACGCGCGUCGUGUAUUUGCGGCCGAAAAAGGUUUCAUGCUGAAAUUUAAAAUUAGUGCGAUUCCCUGUGCAAUAUACCGGUUUUGUGGCAAUUACAGUGUUCAUUUAGUUCAUUUUACUGCAGUGCAAGUGUUUUGCAAGAUAUAUCCGUGAAUAGCCGAACGUAUAAAGAAGGAAGAAAGCAGUAAGACAACAGGGUGACAGCAAAAUGCAAUAGCUGGAUAAACCAGAUAAGUAUAAGAAAUUAUCAUUUAAAACAGCGGAAGAUGUUCGGAACAGGAAUUGUUAAAAGAUUAAUUAGUUAUGCUUUAUCGUCCUAAUGUUUCAGAUUCUUCUACAGCGGAUAUUUGAUGGCAAAAAGCGAGUGAAAAAAGAAUGCAAAUAUGGACGGACGGCAUAAACCAACUCGAUUAAACUACUAUACAUCCCCUUCGUUAUUGUUGUGCCAACAAUUAUAAGGGAAAUUAUACUGUGAAGGUAAAAAAACGGACUUCUUUUUAUUGAACCUACUAAAAAUAAUAUUAAUAAUGCAUUUUGUUUCUUUAUUUAGCGUAUGCUGCACAAAAUUGUCCCGGUCUGCCAACCAUUUCCUCGCGCCCUUCUGAUUCGAUUGCUCAUGAUCAGACUGUGCAAUUUUAAAAUGGUAAGAUCAUCCAAACUAUAC